CUUCAACGAGCCCAGCCACAACGGCCGCUCCGCGGGCCGAUCCUGGCCGUAGGUCGCCAGCAACGCCUGCGCCUC
rnacentral:antisense_RNA from 16 species